rnacentral:rRNA from 1 species
UCCGUAGGUGAACCUGCGGAGGGAUCAUUACAGAGUUACUACUCCAAAACCCAUUGUGAACCUUACCUAUGUUCUGUUGCCUCGGCGGCGUGGUCAGCGCCCCCUCUGAAAAGAGGACGAUGCCCUCCCGCCGGCAGCACCAAACUCUUGAAUUUUACAGCGGAUUACAGUUCUGAUUUGAAAAGAAAAAACAAGUUAAAACUUUCAACAACGGAUCUCUUGGUUCUGGCAUCGAUGAAGAACGCAGCGAAAUGCGAUAAGUAAUGUGAAUUGCAGAAUUCAGUGAAUCAUCGAAUCUUUGAACGCACAUUGCGCCCGGCAGUAAUCUGCCGGGCAUGCCUGUCCGAGCGUCAUUUCAACCCUCGAACCUCCGUUUCCUCAGGGAAGCUCAGGGUCGGUGUUGGGGCGCUACGGCGAGUCUUCGCGACCCUCCGUAGGCCCUGAAAUACAGUGGCGGUCCCGCCGCGGUUGCCUUCUGCGUAGUAAGUCUCUUUUGCAAGCUCGCAUUGGGUCCCGGCGGAGGCCUGCCGUCAAACCACCUAUAACUCCAGAUGGUUUGACCUCGGAUCAGGUAGGGUUACCCGCUGAACUUAAGCAUAUCAAUAAGCGGAGGA